rnacentral:lncRNA from 1 species
CGGCCGUUUAUUAUUUUCAGAAUGAUGCUGCAUAUUUGAACAAGUAUUCUGUCUACAUGCUGAAGAAUGCUAUUGCUUAUAUGUGAGUUCUAAUUCUCGAUCUUAUAUUACACAAGCAGCAUCCUUGAGCUUAUGCAUGUUUUCCUAUUCUAUAUCAUUAUUAUGAUUUUGCUCUUGCUUGUGGUAUCAAUCUCUUGACCUUUGACCAGUUGUUUGUUUAUAAUGGAAUACUAAAAAUUACAAGGAAAUAUGUCUUUCUGGGAUAGUCAGUCAUUUAAUUCUUUUGCAACAAAUAUUAUGUUUUCCAUCAAAUAUUGCCAAUUAUUUAUAUGCAAGUUUAGUAACCUCCUGCCCUCUUCCAGUUCUGUUAACUAUUCUUUUUCUUAUUUACAUGAAACAGAAUUACCCUGUGAUGAAAGGGCUUCAGAUGGCUGUCACGGCAAUUGCAUCCUCAAGGACGAGUGCCGACAUGGUGCUGCAUACUUUUGCUGCAGAAGAAGUGGUUUUCUUGUUCUCCGGUUGGAGUUCUGUACAAGUUCUUUUAUAUCACAAUUGCCUAUCAUUCGUCUUUCCUUAUGCUAGCUGGGAAGGAGGUUUUUUUCCUCCGGACAUUUUGAUUCUCUUUGAAACAUCUUGUCAAACUAUCUUAUCAGUUUCAUGCAUCCGGAAACUUGGGGUCUGGGGAUCCUUAAUUAGUUGAUAGUAACAAGAUCUGUUCCUUUUGGCCAACAUGUUAUAAGAAACUUACCGCAGUAACUCGUA